GAUGAACGCUAGCUACAGGCUUAACACAUGCAAGUCCAGUGGCAGCAUGGUCUUAGCUUGCUAAGGCCGAUGGCGACCGGCGCACGGGUGAGUAACACGUAUCCAACCUGCCGUCUACUCUUGGACAGCCUUCUGAAAGGAAGAUUAAUACAAGAUGGCAUCAUGAGUCCGCAUGUUCACAUGAUUAAAGGUAUUCCGGUAGACGAUGGGGAUGCGUUCCAUUAGAUAGUAGGCGGGGUAACGGCCCACCUAGUCUUCGAUGGAUAGGGGUUCUGAGAGGAAGGUCCCCCACAUUGGAACUGAGACACGGUCCAAACUCCUACGGGAGGCAGCAGUGAGGAAUAUUGGUCAAUGGGCGAGAGCCUGAACCAGCCAAGUAGCGUGAAGGAUGACUGCCCUAUGGGUUGUAAACUUCUUUUAUAAAGGAAUAAAGUCGGGUAUGCAUACCCGUUUGCAUGUACUUUAUGAAUAAGGAUCGGCUAACUCCGUGCCAGCAGCCGCGGUAAUACGGAGGAUCCGAGCGUUAUCCGGAUUUAUUGGGUUUAAAGGGAGCGUAGAUGGAUGUUUAAGUCAGUUGUGAAAGUUUGCGGCUCAACCGUAAAAUUGCAGUUGAUACUGGAUAUCUUGAGUGCAGUUGAGGCAGGCGGAAUUCGUGGUGUAGCGGUGAAAUGCUUAGAUAUCACGAAGAACUCCGAUUGCGAAGGCAGCCUGCUAAGCUGCAACUGACAUUGAGGCUCGAAAGUGUGGGUAUCAAACAGGAUUAGAUACCCUGGUAGUCCACACGGUAAACGAUGAAUACUCGCUGUUUGCGAUAUACAGCAAGCGGCCAAGCGAAAGCGUUAAGUAUUCCACCUGGGGAGUACGCCGGCAACGGUGAAACUCAAAGGAAUUGACGGGGGCCCGCACAAGCGGAGGAACAUGUGGUUUAAUUCGAUGAUACGCGAGGAACCUUACCCGGGCUUAAAUUGCAGAUGAAUUACGGUGAAAGCCGUAAGCCGCAAGGCAUCUGUGAAGGUGCUGCAUGGUUGUCGUCAGCUCGUGCCGUGAGGUGUCGGCUUAAGUGCCAUAACGAGCGCAACCCUUGUUGUCAGUUACUAACAGGUUCCGCUGAGGACUCUGACAAGACUGCCAUCGUAAGAUGUGAAGAAGGUGGGGAUGACGUCAAAUCAGCACGGCCCUUACGUCCGGGGCUACACACGUGUUACAAUGGGGGGGUACAGAGGGCCGCUACCACGCGAGUGGAUGCCAAUCCCAAAAACCUCUCUCAGUUCGGACUGGAGUCUGCAACCCGACUCCACGAAGCUGGAUUCGCUAGUAAUCGCGCAUCAGCCACGGCGCGGUGAAUACGUUCCCGGGCCUUGUACACACCGCCCGUCAAGCCAUGGGAGCCGGGGGUACCUGAAGUGCGUAACCGCGAGGAGCGCCCUAGGGUAAAACUGGUG
rnacentral:rRNA from 1 species